rnacentral:rRNA from 1 species
AGAUUGAACGCUGGCGGCAUGCCUUACACAUGCAAGUCGAACGGCAGCACGGGAGCAAUCCUGGUGGCGAGUGGCGAACGGGUGAGUAAUAUAUCGGAACGUGCCCAGUCGUGGGGGAUAACGCAGCGAAAGCUGUGCUAAUACCGCAUACGAUCUAUGGAUCGAAAGCGGGGGAUCGCAAGACCUCGCGCGAUUGGAGCGGCCGAUAUCAGAUUAGCUAGUUGUGGGGUAAGAGCCUACAAGGCGACGAUCUGUAGCUGUCUGAGAGGACGACCAGCCACACUGAACUGAGACACGGUCCAGACUCCUACGGGAGGCAGCAGUGGGAAUUUGGACAAUGGGCGCAAGCCUGAUCCGAGCAAUGCCGCGUGACGAGGA